rnacentral:tmRNA from 1 species
GGGGAUGUCUUUGGUUUCGACGGGGGUGUAGAAGCCGGAGCAGCGAGCCGCAGUUUGCCCAGUCUGCGUUAAAAGGGGCACGUUAAAUAUAAACGCUAAAAAUAGAACAAACAAUUUCGCAAUGGCAGCGUAAGGCUGUGCGAACAUCGGCCCAGGUUCACCUGCAGGCUUGGAAUCCGGUGUCAAACAUGCAGGAAAACCCUAUGUAAAUUCCUGGCAGCAUAGGGGAACGACAGGAUAGCUGAUGGAAAAGCCUGCUUUUGGGCGUUUCUGGAGGCGAAGCUUUAAAACAAAAGCUGCGCUCGGAGAAACUCUUGUGGAAAUGCUUUCGGACGCGAGUUCGAUUCUCGCCAUCUCCACCA